GAUGAACGCUGGCGGCGUGCCUAAUACAUGCAAGUCGAGCGAACAGACGAGGAGCUUGCUCCUCUGACGUUAGCGGCGGACGGGUGGGUAACACGUGGAUAACCUCCCUUUAAGACUGGGAUACCUUCGGGAAACCGGAGCUAAUACCGGAUAAUAUAUUGAACCGCACGUUUCAAUAGUGAAAGACGGUUUUGCUGUCACUUAUAGAUGGAUCCGCGCCGCAUUAGCUAGUUUGUAAGGUAACGGCUUACCAAGGCGACGAUGCGUAGCCGACCUGAGAGGGUGAUCGGCCACACUGGAACUGAGACACGGUCCAGACUCCUACGGGAGGCAGCAGUAGAGAAUCUUCCGCGAUGGGCGAAAGCCUGACGGAGCAACGCCGCGGGAGUGAUGAAGGUCUUCGGAUCGUAAAACUCUGUUAUUAGGGAAGAACAAAUGUGUAAGUAACUAUGCACGUCUUGACGGUACCUAAUCAGAAAGCCACGGCUAACUACGUG
rnacentral:rRNA from 1 species